rnacentral:ncRNA from 1 species
AAUAAGUAUACAAAGAAAUUAUUAUGGAAUUUUAGCUAUGUAUUAAAGAGAAAAAUAUUUAUUAAUAUAAAAUAUUAUAAUAAUAUAAACUCUAAGAGAAAUCAAAUAAUAAACAAAGUGAAUUGAAAUAUCUUAGUAACUUUAGGAAAAUAAAUCAAAAGAGAUUCCAUGAAUAGUGUGAGCGAAAGUGGAAAAGUCUAAAAAGUAAAAUGGUAUUUAAACUAUUUGAAUGGGGAACCUUCCUCAAAGACUAAAUAUAAUACAUGAGCUAUAGAACAGAGUACCGUGAGGGAACAAAUUGAAAUAGUUAUUUUAUAAGCAGUUUGAAAUAAAAAACGUACCUUUUGCAUAAUGGGUCACCAAGUUAACAUUAGAUGCGAGUAAAUACGUAGUUAAACCGAGCGUUAAAAUAACGGUAUUAGUAUCUAAAGUUAGACCCGAAGCCUGGUGAUUUUACCAUAAUCAGGAUUAUAAAAGUCCGAACCGAAUAUUGUAGCAAAAAUAUCGGAAGAAUUAUGGUAGGUAUAGUGAAAGACAAUACUGACUAGGAUAGCUGGUUUUCUGCGAAAC